AAAAGAAGUUAUUCUUGAUUUUAGUUUUCAUUUUGUUUUGUUGACAACAAAGAACCUGAACAAAUGGAGAUGAGAAUUAGCAGGGUUAAAAAUAACAUUAAAAUUAAAAACUUCAAAUCGGACACCUAUGCUUGAAAACCACUCACUCACUCGGUGUGCUGCAGUCUGAGGACUAUUUUACAUCUAGAAAUUACAAUAUGAUGAAACUCGCCUUUCCCAGAGUUCAAAGCGCCAUAGUCCAGGGCUCCAUCCUUGCUCACAGCAACACAUGCAAAUCCAUGAAACAAAUAAAGCACACCAAGAUGAGACAGAAGAAUAAAGACAAGUUGCUUAAAAUAAACGCAAAUGCACACACACAUGCCAUUAAAGAGUUUUAAACCUCACAUCAUGAAUCACUAGAAGUAGUAAAUGUAAGAUGACUGAAGGUUUUCAAAUGACUAGAGCGUGUUAAAGAGGAAUCCUUGGCAAAACUACAAUAAAUUCUUUUCUCGUUAGGUUUUGCAUUUGAAAUUAUGCUGGUUUUGCAUUUAAUGCUUGUCAUUUCACCGAAACAACCCAAGGCUUUCUUACCACUUGUUGCAGAUCUAGAAGGCUCUGUAGCAGGUGGUGCAUAACAAAAUGUUCUACAUUUCCAUGAAAAUACAGUUUGCAAAAUAUAAAGUCAGGCAUUUUGAUCUACAGCACAAUUGCGAUAUUCAAAUAAAACUAGUAAAGAUGCAAUGCAUAUGGGUUUCCUACCAAGAGAUGCAAUUUUAUUUUAUCAUUAUUAAAACCAAUUAUUUUCUGAUGGCAUUGCAGAAGCCUCAGGGUAAAAGCUGAUAUGGCAUAUUUUUAUGAAAAGAUUUUAACUUCAUUACACCACAGCACAUUAUUACUCUAUAACUCCAUAAACAAAUGGAAUAAUGGUGUUGAGCCAUUCUAGAUGUAAUGAAAUCUCAUGACUGGAAAACAGGAACCUGAAGAACAUUUUUGGGUCACAUUUCACCCUAAAAA